ensembl:lncRNA
GGCGACCAUCACUUAUGAGAACGGGGGAUCUUCCUGACCCAGAGAUCGAACCAGCAUCUCCUGCAUCUCCUACACUGGCCAGCGGAUUCCGAACCACUGAGCCACCCAGGAAGCCCAACUGACAUGCACAGCCUCUCCCUGACCAACAUCCCUCAACCAGAGUGGUCCAUGGAUGACAAUCAAUGGAGCUACAUCAACACAUCUUAAUCACCUAAAGUCCACAGUUCACAUUCAGCUCCAUUCUUGGCGAUACAUUCUGCGGGUUUGGAUGAAUGUAUAAUGACACAUAUAAACCAUCAUAGUAUCGAUCAGAAUAGUUUCAGUUUCAUAAAAAUCCUCUGUGUUCUGCCAUUCAUUACCUCCACCCAGCUUCCACCUCAG